CUCUCUUGACCGACCGUCCAGGCCACGGCCGACACGACGAACCCGACGGCAGAGGGGAGGCGACCUCUCGAGCUCGGAGAGGCAAGGCCGGCGGUCGGUUUUGAUCGCCGGCGUCGGAAAACCAAAGGGAAGAAGAGACCAAAACAGGGGAUCUAUUCUCCGACCAAAAAUCGGCGACAUCCGUCGCCGGCAGUCGCGCACAGAGGCACGGGAAGAAGGGGAAAGAAGAGAAGAAGAGGAGGAAAGCUUAUUUCGGCCUCCGGUGACCCUGCCGGUGAGUAAUCACGGUGAGAACGAAACAAGUAUCCGCGGCUCCAAUUCAAAAAAAUCGGAGAGGA
rnacentral:lncRNA from 1 species